rnacentral:lncRNA from 10 species
AAAGAAGGCCUCCAAAAUUGUCCAAGCUUCAGGCCCCUCAAAAUGUGAAUCUGCCCUUAACUGGAUAUGGAUAAAUCUAAAUCAGCUCAUACUUUAUUUUCUCUCACAUUUACAGACUACAGAGCCUAAGUCAAAGCUUGUUCUUGGACCCAGGAAAUAUGUCAAAUCCUUCCAGUGAAUGGUGCCUUUCAGGAUUGGAGACUACUCCCCCAGUUGCUGAUGGUGUGGUCAGCCCUCAGUUUUCAGUCCUCUUUGGGAAUUGCCUUGGAUGAAGAAAGUCACCUCACCCAAGAUCACUCCAACUCCUGGGACCCACAUCCAAUGAUUGGCCAAUAUGGGGACUCAAAGGCCUGGUCCCCCUUCCCCAACUUGAGACUACUCUGAAGGAUCACCCAGCUUCAGAGCUUCCCAUGGUUGAGACUUUUAGACUUCACUGUGGUCCAACCAAUCUCUUCCUAUACACGGUCCUGACUCCUUCACUUCCCUCCCAGCACUUCUUCUGUGUUAAUAUCAAACUUCUGUGCUAAUAACAAACUUCUUCCGUGCUAAUAUCUCUCAGUGUCUCCUUCCCUGGGAACUCAACCCUAGAUUGUUUAUACCAGCAGUGAUCCAAGAAAGAGAUGCCAACAUGAGAUUUUGGAAUUGGAUCACCUACCAUCCAGCUGGCAGUGCAGACCCCAUCAGUGGCAGUAGAAGAAGUACAUAUAGUCCGUAGCACAAGAUAGCAGUGAAAUUGUUAAAACUUUUGCC